rnacentral:rRNA from 1 species
UACGAAGGGGGCUAGCGUUGUUCGGAAUUACUGGGCGUAAAGCGCACGUAGGCGGGUUGUUAAGUCAGGGGUGAAAUCCUGGAGCUCAACUCCAGAACUGCCUUUGAUACUGGCAACCUAGAGACUGGAAGAGGUUAGUGGAAUUCCCAGUGUAGAGGUGAAAUUCGUAGAUAUUGGGAAGAACACCAGUGGCGAAGGCGGCUAACUGGUCCAGCACUGACGCUGAGGUGCGAAAGCGUGGGGAGCAAACAGGAUUAGAAACCCG